AUGAACAUGUGCUACCUCCUUAGUCUGACUUGGGCACCUAACAUAAUAACAUUUCAGGAGUAUUCAUUCAAUUUCUCACAUUUUUUGAAUGAAAUGAAUAUCGUGUGCUCUUGUAAUAGCUCAUCAGUAACAGGAGAGGUGAAGACGGUCUCCAAGGACGUGCAGUUGGUGACAUCCAACACUUCAAUAGAUGGUGGGAGUUUUGGUAGAGACUGA